UAUUGUGGUGUCUGUCAUGUC
rnacentral:siRNA from 1 species